GAUGAACGCUAGCUACAGGCUUAACACAUGCAAGUCGAGGGGAAACGAUAGAGAAAGCUUGCUUUUUCUAGGCGUCGACCGGCGCACGGGUGAGUAGCGCGUAUCCAACCUGCCCACCACUUGGGGAUAACCUUGCGAAAGUAAGACUAAUACCCAAUGACGUCCAUAGAAGACAUCUGAAAUGGAUUAAAGAUUUAUCGGUGAUGGAUGGGGAUGCGUCUGAUUAGCUUGUUGGCGGGGUAACGGCCCACCAAGGCGACGAUCAGUAGGGGUUCUGAGAGGAAGGUCCCCCACAUUGGAACUGAGACACGGUCCAAACUCCUACGGGAGGCAGCAGUGAGGAAUAUUGGUCAAUGGGCGAGAGCCUGAACCAGCCAAGUAGCGUGCAGGAUGACGGCCCUAUGGGUUGUAAACUGCUUUUAUAAGGGAAUAAAGUGAGUCUCGUGAGACCUUUUGCAUGUACCUUAUGAAUAAGGACCGGCUAAUUCCGUGCCAGCAGCCGCCGUAA
rnacentral:rRNA from 1 species